AAUGCAAAUAUAAGAUCUCCAUCUCUGACUGUGAGUCUACAUAUUUGAAUAUGUACCAUAUUUUCAUAUGAGAUACAGAACGAGUAUCGAUCAAUACACCUAUAGGGUGUCGAUUGAUACUCUUCCUAACAUGCUUUAAUGGUCGAAACAAUAAGUUAACUAAUCGGCAAUAGACCAGCGUGUCAUUGCGCCUAAUAACUAGCUCAACAGGAUUAUAUUCAGAUAUGAGCAUAUUCUCGCAGUUGUCAACUCCUAAGAUCAAGAUUCUAGCUACUGCAG
rnacentral:lncRNA from 1 species